AUUAUUACGGUGAUUAUAUCAUUGAUAUCGUGAAGAAUUAAAGUUGAGGCUAAUGUUCAUCACCACACUGCUUGUAGUACUGUUGGUUCACUGGAAGGAAUUAUCGAUUCUCUGUCGUCUACUGUGGAGGAAUUAACAGAUCUGGCUAAACAGAGAAUUACUACAUUAGAAGGCCCUAUUUGUUCUAAACACAACGUGUUUCACACCAUAACGCCCAUCUCUACCAACGCAACACAAAUCAGAGAAA